GUGCGGGCCGCCAUGAAGUACAAUUCCCAUCAAGCGGCGGGUAGAAUCCUUUGCAGACGACUUAAAUACGCGACGGGGUAUUGUAAGUGGCAGAGUGGCCUUGCUGCCACGAUCCACUGAGAUUCAGCCCUGCGUCGCUCAGAUUCGU
rnacentral:ncRNA from 1 species